GGGGCCGCUUCCGGCUGAGGGCCUGCAUCCGGGCGGCGCCGGGCUGCGGUGAGGCGGAGAGCGGCGUGCGGUGAGCGCGGACGCAAUCUUCCACUUGGAAAGGGCCUCCCAAGGAUCCCUGGUAUCCUCUGAGAGCUCUGAGCUGCCGCACCAAUUUGAAGCUGACUUCAUUUUUGGUCUUCCCCUUCAGCAGAAAAGCUCAGACAGCCGAGCCAAGUGAGACGCUGGAUUUCCUUUGGCAUCAAGGAAAGCAUCGUGAGAUGUUCUGAUGCCCUCUCACAAUUCUUUCUCCCUCCGCCAGCACCAGAGCUGGCGUCCAAAGAUGCAAUGACACUGCCACAGGCAUUGUGGAGAUUUCUAUGGGAUAGGCCCAUGGUAAGGCUUUAUUGACAGAGGGAGGGACAAUGAAGAUUGGAUGUCAGGGAGAAGGUCUUUCCAGAGACGAUGGUGUGAUGCUGGAAGUGGAUGCCCAGAGAGCUUGUGGACGCCACGUCCGUGGCAGUGUUGAAGGCCAGGUUGGUUGGGGCCCUGGUCAGCCUGGUGUAGGAUUAGAUAUGAUGCAGAUGGGAUUCACGCAUCUGUUUUGCAGCCAGCUCGAGUGGAGCUCUUGGAGCUCAUGGGCGCCCCAUGCCCGCAUCAGCGUGGGUAGGGUGCGCCCUUCCUGCGCGGUGGGGCUUUGGUGUUUGGAGGCUGACGCUGAGGAGACUGUGUUUCUUCGUUUAUCGGUGGCAGCAAUCCAGCUCUGUCGGCAGAGGACUCCUGCGGCUGGCUGGCCUCAGCCUGAGAUGUUGAUGCUUCCAUCUCCUCAGGUUCUUUCUGCCUGCUCUUCUUAGCCCUGCGCCUGAGAAGUCUGACUGAGUCACAUGCCAGAAGUGGAAGCCGGGAUGGAGUGCCUUGCGAUGCCUGUGACGGGCUGGACUGAGCCCUUGAGGAAGGUCUGGAAUCUUUGCUGAAAGAUUCGUUGGCUUUGGGCAACUUCAGCUCUGCAGCCACACGAUGGGCUUUUUCCGCUUCCUGUUCUUCCUCACGGAAGCUCACGUGUUUGGUUCCCGGGGCUCGGCCCAGGUCUUCUUGGCUGUUGGUUUCUGCCUGGCCCUGCAGCUGGCAGGUCAGCGGCUGCUUUUGGUCUUCAGGCACUCCAGGGAUGGCUGGCAGCAGACUGAAAGGACAGAGUGGGAGGGGUCCGCCUGAGUGGGUGAUGGCUUUGGGGCCGCAUCCUGCAAGCCGGAGCCAGGACCCUUGGCUGCAAAGCAGCCUUCCCCACAGACAGCUCAGCGGCUGCCCCGUGGCUCUCCCCCGUGGGAUCCAGAGAGGGGCCAGCCCUGUGAGCUGGGGGGCUCCUGGCAUCCCCAUCCCAGCACUGUUGGGCAGCCAGAAACAGGGACCCUUUGGGGCUAGGGAAUGGGCUCUCAUUGGCUCAGUCAAUCACCCCCAUGCACAUCCCAAGCCAGAGCCUCCAGCCUCACCUGGACGUAGAGCUCUCCUUGCGCAGUAAGCUCCUUAUCCUUCGGAGUUUUCCUCCAUCUAGACUGUCCGAGCUCAAGCGUUUGAUGAAGGUUGGCUUGCCAGCAAAUCUCACUGGGAUUGGGAAGGCAGAGGAGACUCACCGUCAACCCUUUGGCUCACUCACCAGGGGCGCUCAGGCCUGUUCCCAGAACAUGCGAGAGGGCCGCUCUGCUCCCCCCACUGCUGACAUCUGUGCUGCCCGCAGACCCUCCCUGAAACCAUCUCUGGCCCCACUCCCCCUCUCUGCCAUCUUGGGACUCUCUUUUGGGAGUGCAUUAGUGACGCUGGCUUUGGGAAAGCGGAGCUGGGUGGUGACGAUGAGCUGACAGGGUGACUUUUGGAAACCAUAUCCUUUUGUUGGGGGAGGGCGGGGCCUAAGGUGCCAAGGUGCUCCUGCCAUAGCCAGGGAUGGGGGCACGUCACAGCCAGCGCCUUGGUUUUGGAGAGGCCAACAAUUCCUCGUGGGAAGAGGCCGUGCUGAGCUGGCAUGAAGCUUUGACGGAUGCCUCCUGAGGACCUGCGGCAUAUCCCAGGUGGUGGUUUGGGGACAAACUCCAUUUGAAACCUGUACGCGAGGAGACGACAGUGAGCGGUGGGACGCAGCGCUCCACCAAUCCUUGUUGCUCUCUCUGAUUGCCUGCUGACAGGCCCAUUUUCAUGCUGCAUGAUGGCCACUGCUUUCUAAAGGCUUCAGCAGGGCCAGGCUGAGAGCAACCUGAUGUGGCGCUUCUCAAGGAAGUCGUAAUAGAAUUUCAUGUGGAAGGUCAGUCCAUCGAUGUGGAGCACUCCAAUGUCCUUGAAGACAACGGCAACGUUCUCCCCAUUCUUCAGGCAGCCAGAGAGCAGGGACACGGUGCUUUGGAUGCAAGCCUGCGCUGUCUGCCAGGUCACAGAGGCAGCUGCGGCCACCUCGCUGCUCUUGAGCGGCUCCAGCUUCCUAUGGGCUGAAAAAUGGGAGGGACGGAGUUGAUGAUACGGUUGGUUUUCCGCAGUGCUUCCCUGGAACUGCUUCUUGUGGCCAUCAGCCAGAACGGCCCCGUGUUUGGACGGGCUCCUCCGAGGGGGAGGGACUCCCUGCGGGGCUUGAGGUGGUGCACGGCUAUGAGGUUUCCAGACAAGUGAAAGACGGGCCACCGCAGAGUCACGGUCCCGUCCUCAGUCCUGAUGUCUCUGGAGAUGGUGUCAAAGGAUCCGAAG